GCUCGGGGCGAGCGGAGCCCUGCCCCCGCCGUAGCCUUAAAAGGGGAGCUCGUCAGGGACGAGACCGGGCUCGCCUGCGCAGGGAAGGUGGUUGUCAUCCCUCAGAGGAAUGGUAGGAAGGCUGCUACUGCUUCAGGCAAGAAAGUAGAGAUAAAAAUGCCUCUGGCUCCCAUGUUCGCUGAGAAAUUAAAAUCACCACGUAGGAAGGGAGCCACUUGAGCCAAGUUGCCAAAAGACAAGAGGAGUGCCAAGCUGCAGGAGCACGAGAAGAGAAAUGAGCAACAAGGAUGAGGGUAAGAACAGCGAAUCGGUCCAGGGUGAGGAAGGUGAAGAAGAAUCCUCUUCUGGGGCACUCCUGGCUGGUGGCUGAAAGAUACCAAGGGUCAGCCCUGAAUGCUGUUGACAUCACUCUUGGAGGUUUUCUGUGACAAUACUGCCCUUCAGAAAGCUGCCUUGGUGAUCCCUGUCUGGGUCUUCAGGCUUCGCUUCAUUGAUGAGGCGUCUCAGUGGACACUGACCUCUGCUGGCCAUAGGACCAGAAUCAGAGUUUUCUCCCAGAAAAUUAUACAUUGAUUGUUUCUAUCUUUGUGCUUAUGAGCCAAGCAGGUUAAUUGUUCCCCAAACUUAAUUCUCACUGAUUUUUUUUUCCUCUUGACUGAGUCUGUGUAACAUUUUAAAUGGUAUUGCUUCCAAAGCAGUAAUUUUACCAUUUUUUAUUAAAAUACUGUAGAAGUACA